rnacentral:rRNA from 2 species
UCGAGAAUCUUCCGCAAUGGACGAAAGUCUGACGGAGCGACGCCGCGUGGUGGAUGAAGUCCUUCGGGGCGUAAACAUCUUUUAUGAGGGAUGAAGUUUUGACAGUACCUCAUGAAUAAGGGGCUCCUAACUCUGUGCCAGCAGGAGCGGUAAUACAGAGGCCCCAAGCAUUAUCCGGAAUUACUGGGCGUAAAGGGUGCGUAGGUGGCGUCAUUAGUCCUCUUUUAAAUCCUCCGAGCUCAACUCGGAGGCUCGAGGGGAAACGGUGGCGCUAGAGGAUGUAAGAGGUAUGUGGAACUCAUGGUGUAGGGGUGAAAUCCGUUGAUAUCAUGGGGAACACCGAAUGCGAAGGCAGCAUACUGGGACAUUCCUGACACUGAGGCACGAAAGCGUGGGUAGCGAAAAGG